UGGGGAAUAUUGCACAAUGGGCGAAAGCCUGAUGCAGCGACGCCGCGUGAGGGAUGACGGCCUUCGGGUUGUAACCCUCUUUCAGCAGGGACGAAGCGCAAGUGACGGUACCUGCAGAAGAAGCACCGGCUAACUACGUGCCAGCAGCCGCGGUAAUACGUAGGGUGCAAGCGUUGUCCGGAAUUACUGGGCGUAAAGAGUUCGUAGGCGGUUUGUCGCGUCGUUUGUGAAAACCAGCAGCUCAACUGCUGGCUUGCAGGCGAUACGGGCAGACUUGAGUACUGCAGGGGAGACUGGAAUUCCUGGUGUAGCGGUGAAAUGCGCAGAUAUCAGGAGGAACACCGGUGGCGAAGGCGGGUCUCUGGGCAGUAACUGACGCUGAGGAACGAAAGCGUGGGUAGCGAACAGG
rnacentral:rRNA from 1 species